rnacentral:rRNA from 1 species
UACGUAGGAUCCUAGCGUUGUCCGGAUUUACUGGGUGUAAAGGGUGCGCAGGCGGUCUUAUAAGUCAGUGGUGAAAUCUCGGCGCUUAACGCCGAAACUGCCUUUGAUACUAUAAGUCUUGAGUUUGGUAGAGAUCCGUGGAAUUCCGAGUGUAGCAGUGAAAUGUGUAGAUAUUCGGAAGAACACCAGCGGCGAAGGCAGCGGAUUGGGCCAAUACUGACGCUCAGGCACGAAAGCAUGGGGAUCAAACAGG